rnacentral:lncRNA from 1 species
AUGAUGAAUCAUGGCACAGGAUCGAAUGUCACAUCUUUACUAUAUAACAGGAAUUCUAUACAAAAUAAAUAAUUACAUUAUAAGGAGACAACGGUCCAGCAACCCAAAGUUGACUGGGAGACGACGGCCUAGAUCCCUCACGAACACAUCGCAGCAUCCUCCAUGCGCCUCAUCCAGUGGUACCUGUUCUUGACCUGUGGGGGGGUGUGAGACAGCAAGAGUGAGCUCACAUACGUUCAUCGCUCAACAAGUUGUGGGGAAUAAUGUGCAUGAACUCGCCAAAGGCGGGAGCUCACGUGAAGUGUAAGGCUUACCAAAGAAGAUGGUUGAAGCUAAGCAUUGCUUUUAAAGUUGGUCAAAAUUUUAUUAGCAAUUACUAAGUAUAAGUAAAUACCAGCCCAAUUAAUAUAGUAGAACAGAAGUAACAACAUCACCUGCUAUGCAAUGCAUAUGACAAAUUGAAUUUAAGUUCCAUAAAUUAAUCAUGUGAGUGUCCGAGCCGCUCAUGACCGUGAGCACGGCUAGUAUACCAGUUUUACACUCUGCAGAGGUUGCGCAUCUUUACCCACAAGUCAUGUUACCCAUCUGCCAAGGGAUCGCGACUUCCCAUACACCUCUACCGAGGAGGCGAGGCAGGGUAACACUACGAGGCCUUUACAAAGUUCCACUAGCUUCAGAAAACCCGCUACAGUUUAUAGGAAGCUCCAAUGCAGGAAUCCCUUGCAGGACCGCCAUCACAGCAAAAUCCUCCCGAGGGCCUCCCUACACUGACCACUCCCCUACUGCCCUUGCCCCUUUCGGGUAAGGUAGUCUUCCACUAGCUUUCCUAAUUAAUCAGCCAAGGGGUCCCAUUCCUCCCUUGUGGUAGCACUGUUUUCCCGGGUGGUUCUCCAUGUUCCAAUUAACAUAAUGAUCUUAACAUGAACAAUAAAUAAUAACUGAUAACAAAAGUAUAAUCAUGAAUAGUGUAAUCUUCAUACCCAAAACCACAUAAAGCACUAGCAAGUACUACCCAAAAAGUUCAGUGGUAAACAAGGUAUAAAGAUAGUCAAAGCUAGGGUAACCUAUUAGGUCCCAUCAAAAUUAACCUAUGCAGAUCAUUAUGAUUAAUUAGAACAUGAGUGGGUAAAAAGAAGUGAUCAAGGGCACAACUUGCGUGGGACUUGAGAUUUCAGGUACCAACUUGCUCUUCAGAUGACAAGUGACCUCACUCUAGUCGUAGCAAUACAAACAAGCAGUGUAUAGGCAAAAUUAACAUCACACCAAACAUGUAAACAAAAUACAUAAUAAUAAUCUACUCAUUAAAAUAAGAUUCUAGGAACAGAAAUCAUUAAUUUUGGAGUUACGGAUUCUAAGUUAUGAAUUUCUGAAGUUAAUAAGCAUCUAGAAUAGAUUAAUCCAAAUGAAUAAUUUUAAUUUAAGUUUUAUGGUUAAACAAUGUUACUAGUUGAUAGACAAUGUUAAUACAAAAUUAUUGCAACUGGAAUUACUCAAGUUGGAGUUAAAAUGAAUUAACUAUGAAUUUCACAAGUUUCUGGCAUUUAUUUUCACAUUAAAAAUCAUUUUCUAUUUAUUUUUACUGGGUUUCCUAAUUCUCUGGACUGGGCACACAAAACCAGAGGAGCACAGGGUUUAAUUUAUAAGAUUUCCUAGACUCACCCGCGCGGACGGCGGGUUUGUUUUACUAAAACCGCAGGGGUUCUUUUGUAAGUUAUCCUGGUGAAGGGGUAUGGCUGGCUCUCAGCCACAAGAUUAGAUUUGGAUGGCCCAGAUCGAUCCCGAGCCCAUAAUCUACGUAGACCGCUCGAUCGAAGAUCAAUGACCCGCGAUGCAUCAUCACUUCAAUUUCCCUUGCUCUUAACCUUCACCGUCCGAUCAUUACCGAGCGCCCUAGAUUCAAUGGUUAAAAGCGUUCUCAUACCCCCAGCCCGAGCCGCGGCGGCGCACAGGGACAAUACGGCGGCGCGCCAUGGUCGGGUACUAGCACCGCCGCAUACAACCGCCCAAACCUCAGCCCAAGAAUUGCCCCACGAAGAGUAUAUCACGUGCGGUUAGGCAAGGGGUACUAUACCGGUGAUGGAUCGGUGCUGAGGGCCGACGACGGGUUUUGGCGGCUCCGUGGAGGGUUCACGACACCGACGAGCAAUCCCAGCAUCCCCAUCGCCACACGCAGCCCCGCGAUGUCAUGGAAUAGGUCCCUGGAACCGGACGAGGACCCACGGCCCGAGCCGGAUGCCGCAACGACGAUGAAUCGGAGCCUUUAUAGUGGUGGAUCUCUGGCAUCGAAGUCCCCUUGGUGAGAAAUUGUGCAGCCACCGGUUCACAGUCCCACCAGGCGAGGCCGUGAUAGACAUCCUGGUGGACCCAGCCAUCCCCACGGCCCGCCCCCGAGGGAUCGACAUCGGCGAGCCGGAGUUUUCCCCCAUGGCGGACAUGAUUCUCUCACUUCCUCCCAUGAUGGUCGGGUAUGGAGGAUUAGAAGUCAGGUGCUAGCUCGAUGGAAGGAAGGGGGG